GUGGAAAAACUGAUUUCCGUCCCCUCCUAAGGGAUAGGUCACAGGUUCGAAUCCUGUUCGGGGCGCCA
rnacentral:tRNA from 1 species